UACGUAGGGCGCAAGCGUUGUCCGGAAUUAUUGGGCGUAAAGAGCUCGUAGGCGGCUUGUCACGUCGAUUGUGAAAGCCCGAGGCUUAACCUCGGGUCUGCAGUCGAUACGGGCUAGCUAGAGUGUGGUAGGGGAGAUCGGAAUUCCUGGUGUAGCGGUGAAAUGCGCAGAUAUCGGGAGGAACACCGGUGGCGAAGGCGGUUCUCUGGGCCGAUAUUGACGCUGAGGAGCGAAAGCGUGGGGAGCGAACAGG
rnacentral:rRNA from 1 species